rnacentral:rRNA from 1 species
AUCAACUGGAGGACCGAACCGACUAAUGUUGAAAAAUUAGCGGAUGACUUGUGGCUAGGGGUGAAAGGCCAAUCAAACUCGGAGAUAGCUGGUUCUCCCCGAAAGCUAUUUAGGUAGCGCCUCGGACGAAUACUACUGGGGGUAGAGCACUGUUAAGGCUAGGGGGUCAUCCCGACUUACCAACCCUUUGCAAACUCCGAAUACCAGUAAGUACUAUCCGGGAGACACACGGCGGGUGCUAACGUCCGUCGUGGAGAGGGAAACAACCCAGACCGCCAGCUAAGGUCCCAAAGUAUUGCUAAGUGGGAAACGAUGUGGGAAGGCUCAGACAGCUAGGAUGUUGGCUUAGAAGCAGCCAUCAUUUAAAGAAAGCGUAAUAGCUCACUAGUCGAGUCGGCCUGCGCGGAAGAUGUAACGGGGCUAAGCAAUACACCGAAGCUGCGGCAAUGUCUUUUAGAUAUUGGGUAGGGGAGCGUUCUGUAAGCCGUUGAAGGUGAAUCGUAAGGUUUGCUGGAGGUAUCAGAAGUGCGAAUGCUGACAUGAGUAACGACAAAGGGGGUGAAAAACCUCCUCGCCGGAAGACCAAGGGUUCCUGUCCAACGUUAAUCGGGGCAGGGUGAGUCGACCCCUAAGGUGAGGCCGAAAGGCGUAAUCGAUGGGAAACGGGUUAAUAUUCCCGUACUUCUGACUAUUGCGAUGGGGGGACGGAGAAGGCUAGGUGGGCCAGGCGACGGUUGUCCUGGUUCAAGUGCGUAGGCUUGAGAGUUAGGUAAAUCCGGCUCUCUUUAAGGCUGAGACACGACGUCGAGCUGCUACGGCAGUGAAGUCAUUGAUGCCAUGCUUCCAGGAAAAGCCUCUAAGCUUCAGAUAGUCAGGAAUCGUACCCCAAACCGACACAGGUGGUCGGGUAGAGAAUACCAAGGCGCUUGAGAGAACUCGGGUGAAGGAACUAGGCAAAAUGGUACCGUAACUUCGGGAGAAGGUACGCUCUUGAUGGUGAAGUCCCUCGCGGAUGGAGCUGACGAGAGUCGCAGAUACCAGGUGGCUGCAACUGUUUAUUAAAAACACAGCACUGUGCAAAAUCGCAAGAUGACGUAUACGGUGUGACGCCUGCCCGGUGCCGGAAGGUUAAUUGAUGGGGUUAGCGCAAGCGAAGCUCUUGAUCGAAGCCCCGGUAAACGGCGGCCGUAACUAUAACGGUCCUAAGGUAGCGAAAUUCCUUGUCGGGUAAGUUCCGACCUGCACGAAUGGCGUAAUGAUGGCCACGCUGUCUCCACCCGAGACUCAGUGAAAUUGAAAUCGCUGUGAAGAUGCAGUGUACCCGCGGCUAGACGGAAAGACCCCGUGAACCUUUACUACAGCUUGGCACUGAACAUUGAACCUACAUGUGUAGGAUAGGUGGGAGGCUAUGAAGACGUGACGCCAGUUGCGUUGGAGCCGUCCUUGAAAUACCACCC